UGGGGAAUAUUGGACAAUGGGGGAAACCCUGAUCCAGCGACGCCGCGUGGGUGAAGAAGGCCUGCGGGUUGUAAAGCCCUUUCGGUUGGGAAGAACAGUAUUGACCUAACACGUCAGUACCUUGACGUAACCAACAAAAGAAGCACCGGCUAACUCUGUUCCAGCAGCCGCGGUAAUACAGAGGGUGCGAGCGUUGUCCGGAAUCACUGGGCGUAAAGGGCGCGUAGGUGGUGGCUUAAGCGUGCGGUGAAAGCUCGGAGCUCAACUCCGAGUCGGCCGUGCGAACUGGGCUCACUGGAGCAUAGUAGAGGCAGGUGGAAUUCCGGGUGUAGCGGUGGAAUGCGUAGAGAUCCGGAAGAACACCGGUGGCGAAGGCGGCCUGCUGGGCUAUGGCUGACACUGAGGCGCGACAGCGUGGGGAGCAAAC
rnacentral:rRNA from 1 species